rnacentral:misc_RNA from 1 species
UUUCCGUAGGUGAACCUGCGGAAGGAUCAUUACAAAAUCCGGUUUGGGUUGGUGGUGGGAGUUGUAUUGUAGGUAGAAGGGAGUUUUCUUUUCUACCACUCUACUUACUACUCGCCCCCCCUCAUCAUUUGCGCUUGUAUUGUUUGACAGAGUAAUUUUUAUACAUAUAAAUGACAACUUUUAACAAUGGAUCUCUGGGCUCUU